rnacentral:rRNA from 1 species
AUUGAACGCUGGCGGCAGGCCUAACACAUGCAAGUCGAACGAGUGGCGGACGGGUGAGUAAUGUCUGGGAAACUGCCUGAUGGAGGGGGAUAACUACUGGAAACGGUAGCUAAUACCGCAUACCAUCAGAUGUGCCCAGAUGGGAUUAGCUUUUUGGUGGGGUAACGGCGCACCAAGGCGACGAUCCCUAGCUGGUCUGCGAGGAUGACCACACACACUGGAACUGAGACACGGUCCAGACUCCGACUGGCGGCAGCAGUGGGGAAUAUUCACAAUGGGCGCAAGCCUGAUGCAGCCAUGCCGCGUGUGUGAAGAAGGCCUUCGGGUUGUAAAGUACUUUCAGCGGGGAGGCGUUACCCACAGAAGAAGCACCGGCUAACUCCGUGCCAGCAGCCGCGGUAAUUC